UUUUGUGUGAAAAUGAGUUUUUUAUUACUUUUUAACGACACAAAUUGUUAAAACACAGUUUUAUUUCUGGUGCUCGGAUUACUGCCGGUGACUGGAGAUAAACACUCUCUGUUAUAUCUCUACACCAUGCAGUCUAAAAACUCUGAUUCUCAUCUCUACGACUGCACUGCUGUAACUCUGCUGAACUACAGACAGAUAGAUUUCUACAA